ensembl:snRNA U6 U6 spliceosomal RNA
AUGCUCACUUCAACAGCACAUAUACUAAAAUUGGAAUGAUAGAGAUUAGCAUGGCCCCUGCGUCAGAAUGACAUUCAAAUUUGUGGCAAUUUGUAUACUGAA